rnacentral:rRNA from 1 species
GACGAACGCUGGCGGCGUGCUUAACACACGCAAGUCGAACGAUGAACCCGGAGCUUGCUCCGGUGGAUUAGUGGCGAACGGGUGAGUAACACGUGAGUAACCUGCCCUUGACUCUGGGAUAACUGCGGGAAACUGUAGCUAAUACCGGAUACGACCCUCGGCGGCAUCGCCAGGGGGUGGAAAGAAUUUCGGUCAAGGAUGGACUCGCGGCCUAUCAGCUAGUUGGUGAGGUAACGGCUCACCAAGGCGACGACGGGUAGCCGGCCUGAGAGGGUGACCGGCCACACUGGGACUGAGACACGGCCCAGACUCCUGCGGGAGGCAGCAGUGGGGAAUACUGCACAAUGGGCGCGAGCCUGAUGCAGCAACGCCGCGUGAGGGAUGACGGCCUUCGGGUUGUAAACCUCUUUUAGUAGGGAAGAAGCGAAAGUGACGGUACCUGCAGAAAAAGCACCGGCUAACUACGUGCCAGCCGCCGCCGUAA